rnacentral:lncRNA from 1 species
UUGCCUUUGUUAUCACUACAAAGUUUUGUGGCACUGUGAACAUUUGACCCUCUCGAACUUGGCCAUCAAAGACUGAAUCUCCAUUUUCAUUAACAAUCUGAAUGCGACCACUUCCUCUGGUGAUGUAUCGGAUGCUAUGGGCAUUGAUGUUCCAGUGUGGAGUCAUUAUAGCAUUCUGCACGAAUAUAAUCAAGAAAAUUUGCUUCAAGUUAUUUAUUUUCUGAUGAAUGUAAUGGUUUUGAGUCUUACCUUGUAGAGAACAGCUUUCUGAAUACUGAGUUGAAGGUAUCUGAGGAUGGGGAAGUUGUGAUUAUUGAGGUUGGUGACACGCCCGGCCCGUGGGUUAUAGAUGUCAGCUUGUGAUGGGUUGUUGAUACUGUGUUUCAUUCUGGCUGUGCAGAAAGUUUCCUCUAAUCCAUUAUAGCUACCUUCACGGCCCCUCUCGAGUUGCCGUUGUGCUUCUUCCUCUCUUUCUUGUCGUUCUUCUUCUUGGCUUCUUU